rnacentral:lncRNA from 1 species
UAAGUUUAUGUCAUUAUAAAGCUCUGAAGAUAUUUCAAUGAUUAUGAUGGACAAAAUGGAGCUCUUAAAUAAUCAUACAGCCUUGGUGCGUAUGGAUAUAUGUACACAUGAUACACAUGAUCACUUAUCAUUAAAAGGAACAUAUUUGAUUAUGUUCCUUUACUAAUAAGGUGACUUCUUUGUUUGUCUGAAAACCACAAGAUAAGUCAAGACCCUUCUCCCUUCUCUUACCACCAGCGUUUUGAACUGCUCUGAAUAAUCUAAAGCUCUGUUCAGCUUGCAGCCAGAUGUGAACAAUCACUGCUUGACACGGAGUACAAAUAACACCUACUCCAGCCAUUACUCUUCAAUUGGAGCUCUGCUCUUGAUGGAGGCUGAGAUUGCUCUGGCUUGUGUAACUUGCACAUGGACAGUAGUAGGCACAGAGUGAGAAGGAGGUCAGAGUGUUUAGGCUGCAAGCUAGAGACCGCUCUGCUCUGGACGUCUCCCAAAUGAGAGUGGUCUGUUUUAAAGUGAAGUGCGGUCACAGGCCACAGUUCAACCUGAAGGACUGAGUAGACUAAUGUAUUUGGCAGACUUAGACCCGUUAAAACAAAACAAAAUAAAAAAUAAAGUGAAGAAGGCUAUAAGCCUACUUUGAAACCUAAAUGGCCAUUCACUUUCAUUUAUGAAAAGCUUCGGAAGUCUUCUAACCAUCCUAGGCUAAACUGUUUAUGGUUCAUGGUGUUAGAGAAAAUGGAGUCUUGACAUUCUGUCCUUGCAUGAACCUGAGAUCUAGAAGAGAAUGAAAGAGCCUGGAGAGCAGAAGUGCUAUUCCCUUAGCAAGCUGCUAUGCUUGAUGGUCGUGGUCAGAGCUUACCAAGAUCCUGGGAUUGUGCUUCAAAAAUAAAACUAACAACCCUUAAUUCCAUGUAGUAUUGAUUGGCUUUGUUUCUGCUGCGUGAGUCUUUUUUUAAAUUUUAUUUUUAAAGUGAGGUUGCAAUCAUUGCUUCCUCCUGGAUGUUGAGUACUUUUUGUAAAGAAUAACAGCAUGUUCC